CCUACGGGGGGCAGCAGUGAGGAAUAUUGGUCAAUGGGCGGGAGCCUGAACCAGCCAAGUCGCGUGAAGGAAGAAGGUACUUAGUAUUGUAAACUUCUUUUGUCGGGGAACAAAGGCGGAGACGCGUCUCCGGAUGAGUGUACUCGAAGAACAAGCAUCGGCUAACUCCGUGCCAGCAGCCGCGGUAAUACGGGGGAUGCGAGCGUUACCCGGAUUUAUUGGGUUUAAAGGGUGCGCAGGCGGGAGAUCACGUCAGCGGUAAAAUGUCGGGGCUCAACCCCGGCCGGCCGGUGAUACUGGUUGUCUAGAGUAGGAGAGAGGUAUGCGGAAUUCGUGGUGUAGCGGUGAAAUGCAUAGAUAUCACGAAGAACUCCGAUUGCGAAGGCAGCAUAACGGCUCCAUACUGACGUUGAGGCACGAAAGCGUGGGGAUCGAACAGGAUUAGAUACCCCUGUAGUC
rnacentral:rRNA from 1 species